GCAUCAUCCCGGGGAAGACCCUCGCUAUUCACGGAGUGGGGCCCACACCUGUGACGGUACCGGUAGCCCGUGCCCCCGUCGUGUGGAACGACUGUGCAACGUACCUGGAAAUGGGGGGUGUGGAGACGGCGCUGACGAGGGGACGUGGGAGCAGCCUGCAGACACCGAAGGGCUGCUGCAGGGAAGGAGGAAAGUGUUUUCUCCCUUGGUGCUGAGAGGAGGUCACAGACCCGUGGCUUGACGUUUGGAUCGGGGAUACAGGAACACAUCUUCAGUGUCGGAGCAGCGCGGCUGUAGGCCACAUGCCGGGGAGUGGGGGACACUCCGGCACUGGAGGGCUCAGCAGAGGGGGACAGCCGCUGGCCGGGGCGGGCUCGCUGCAGCGAUGCCCGUGCUCUGCGGGGGGGCUCCCAGGCCUCGGGGCUGGGCUGGUCCCCCCCACCCCGGGUCCAGACCCCUUGCUGCUACAUGUGUCGGGGGGUUAAGCCUCCCUGAGUACUGCUGGGUGUUGGCUAGAGCCGGGCUGGGCUGGGCCUGCGCUCCUGCGGGGACCAAAGCCAGAGGGUUGUGGCUGGAGGGCGAGAGGACAAUCUGGGAAAAAAACUAGGAAGCUGGGCUGACCUAAACCCCGAACAUUUGAUUAUAUUUAGAAAAAGCACCCAGACAGAAAUCCGAGGAUGCACAAAGACGACGUGUUUGGGAAAACCCGGCUGUAUGGUAACCCUAAUAUGUCCCCAAUAGAUCUCCCCGCGGAAGGAGAGGACCUUUCCCUUGAUCCCUGCUGGCAGAAGGCCAGUACUUGACCUGGCAAAGGAUUAUGGUUGCGUUGUUCAAUUAAACUCUGUUUAAGCCUG